GAAAGGGAAAACACUGAAAAUGAGGAAUGUAUUUCAUCAGCUCCCCUCCUAUGGGGUCACCUUGGGCUGGCUGCACUGGUGUUUCACUGAUCCAGUUAUUAGGUGCUCCAGUGGAUGAGUUUCUAAUCUGCAACUGCAGGAAGAGUGGGAGGCACGUGGUGGAGGCCUGUGACAUCCAAUGCAAGAACCAAAAGAUGUACAGCUGUUGAUGAAGGAAGGGAAUGCUGUUUAGUGUGGGUGGAGAAACAGUAUCUUUGGAAAGGAAGGCCGGAUCCUGGCAGGAAGGAAAUUCAGAUCUCAUGUACUGAUCCUGAAAAUAGUAUAGAAGUAACCUGGAGUCUUCAUAGAGUUUGUGUUCUGCAAUAAUCAACCCAGCCAUGGUUCUUCCUAUCCCUCACGG
rnacentral:lncRNA from 1 species